rnacentral:guide_RNA from 1 species
AAAUUAUUAAACAGAAAGAGAUCAUGUAGAAAGUGAGAUAGAAAUU